GACGAACGCUGGCGGCGUGCUUAACACAUGCAAGUCGAACGGAAAGGCCCUGCUUUUGUUGGGUGCUCGAUUGGCGAACGGGUGAGUAACACGUGAGUAACCUGCCCUUGACUGUGUGAUAACUUCAGGAAACUGGGGCUAAUACCGGAUAGGAGCUCCUGCUGCAUGGCGUGGGUUGGAAAGUUUCGGCUGUUGGGGAUGGACUCGCGGCUUAUCAGCUUGUUGGGGGGGUAGGGGCUUACCAAGGCUUUGACGGGUAGCCGGCCUGGGAGGGUGAACGGCGACAUUGGGCCUGCGAUACGGCGCAGACUCCUACGGGAGGCAGUAGUGGGGAAUAUUGCACAAUGGGCGGGAGCCUGAUGCAGAAACGCCGCGUGCGGGAUGACGGCUUUCGGGUUGUAAACAGCUUUCGACUGUGACGAAGCGUGAGUGACGGUAAUGGGUAAAGAAGCCACGGCUAACUACGUG
rnacentral:rRNA from 1 species